rnacentral:ncRNA from 1 species
AGAAAAGCGAAGAUCAGGAGAAGUAAAUCUCGCCCCUUAACAGAGAGAGAUCACCAAAGGUUGAGAGUGAUUUUAAAGGAUAGGGAGAUUGAAAUGCACCUGGGAGCUGUAGCUCGAAGGAAAAGUAGAGUGAAUCGGUGGUCCCGUUAUCGACCUCGAGAGGAAUGAUUAAGUCAUUCAAUCAGAGUGGAACCGCGGAUAAAACUCCGUCUCUGGC